UUGACCUCGGAUCAGGUAGGGAUACCCGCUGAACUUAAGCAUAUCAAUAAGCGGAGGAAAAGAAACCAACAGGGAUUGCCCUAGUAACGGCGAGUGAAGCGGCAACAGCUCAAAUUUGAAAUCUGGCGUCUUUGGCGUCCGAGUUGUAAUUUGCAGAGGGCGCUUUGGCAUUGGCAGCGGUCCAAGUUCCUUGGAACAGGACGUCACAGAGGGUGAGAAUCCCGUACGUGGUCGCUAGCCUUUACCGUGUAAAGCCCCUUCGACGAGUCGAGUUGUUUGGGAAUGCAGCUCUAAAUGGGAGGUAAAUUUCUUCUAAAGCUAAAUACUGGCCAGAGACCGAUAGCGCACAAGUAGAGUGAUCGAAAGAUGAAAAGCACUUUGGAAAGAGAGUUAAAAAGCACGUGAAAUUGUUGAAAGGGAAGCGCUUGCAGCCAGACUUGCCUGUAGUUGCUCAUCCGGGUUUUUACCCGGUGCACUCUUCUACGGGCAGGCCAGCAUCAGUUUGGGCGGUUGGAUAAAGGUCUCUGUCAUGUACCUCCUCCUCGGGGAGAUCUUAUAGGGGAGACGACCAUGCAACCAGCCCUGGAUCUGAGGUC
rnacentral:rRNA from 1 species